rnacentral:rRNA from 1 species
CACGGCGCACGGGUGCGUAACACGUGGGCAAUCUGCCCUCCGGUGGGGAAUAACCCCGCGAAAGCGGGGCUAAUUCCGCAUAACAUUCCCUGGACUCUGGUUCGGGGAUUCAAAGCAGCAAUGCGCCGGAGGAGGAGCCCGCGCCCGAUUAGCUAGUUGGUGAGGUGACGGCUCACCAAGGCAAUGAUCGGUAGCUGGUCUGAGAGGAUGGCCAGCCACACUGGAACUGAGACACGGUCCAGACUCCUACGGGAGGCAGCAGUGGGGAAUCUUGCGCAAUGGGCGAAAGCCUGACGCAGCGACGCGGCGUGGGGGAUGAAGCUUCUCGGAGUGUAAACCCCUUUCGACCGGGACGAAUGCCCGCAAGGGAGUGACGGUACCGGUAGAAGAAGCCCCGGCUAACUACGUGCCAGCAGCCGCGGUAAGACGUAGGGGGCCAGCGUUGUUCGGAAUUACUGGGUGUAAAGGGUUCGUAGGCGGUGUGGCAAGUCGGGAGUGAAAUUUCUGGGCUUAACCCAGAAGCUGCUUCCGAAACUGCUGUGCUAGAGUGCGGGAGAGGCGCGUGGAAUUGCAGGUGUAGCGGUGAAAUGCGUAGAUAUCUGCAGGAACACCCGUGGCGAAAGCGGCGCGCUGGACCGUUACUGACGCUGAGGAACGAAAGCUAGGGGAGCAAACAGGAUUAGAUACCCUGGUAGUCCUAGCCCUAAACGAUCAGGACUUGGGGUGCCUUCCGUUCGGAAGUCGUCCCGGAGCUAACGCGUUAAGUCCUGCACCUGGGGAGUACGGUCGCAAGACUGAAACUCAAAGGAAUUGACGGGGGCCCGCACAAGCGGUGGAACAUGUGGUUCAAUUCGA